GACUUGUGUGUGUUGCUGUUCAGCGGUCUGCAUUCAAAAGAGUGUUACGACGUGCGGCAGUGGCGCCGUAAAACCUUCAACUGGAUCGCAACUGGUCUUAAUUGGCUGGUUGCAGUCAUUCGGUUGAUCGUUUACUGUGAGAAAAUUAGAGUGUUCAAGGCAGGCAUUAUUGCAAUUGAAUAUGUUAGCAUGGAAUAAUAAGAUAAGGCUUUCGCGUUUAUUUUGUUGGUUUCUAGAUCGGAAGUAAUGAUUGAUAGGGACAGUUGGGGGUGCUAGUAUUCAGCGGCCAGAGGUGAAAUUCAUGGAUUCGCUGAAGACUAACUUAUGCGAAAGCAUU
rnacentral:rRNA from 1 species